GCUUUCUCAACCUUCAAAUAAUUUUAUACAUACAUGAACACACCGCAUCAUGAGCAUCGACCGCAACAUCGUUGAAAAGUGGUUUAUGUUUAACAUUAGACGACCCAUCUGAAACAAUAAAAACCUUUUGAUAUUGACUCAGAAUACGUAUGAAGGGUUUUUCUUCUUAUUAUUCACAUAACCAACAAGUACAUAUAUAGGGUAUACAAUACAGGAUAAUUAUCUACCUUCAAAACUAACUAUCGGAUAUACACCAUACAAGAUGACCACAAAACUAAUUAUUAUCUAAAAAAACUCUUGACCACACUCCCCCUCAAGCUGAUGAAUGUAUAUCGAUCAUUCGAAGCUUGUCCAAAGAGUCGUUGAAUAUUCGCACACACACAGCCUUGGUUAACAUGUCAGCUAACUGCUCAUUCGAAUUCACAUACGGUAAACUAAUCGUCUUUUUCUCAAGAUGAUCUUUAAUGAAAUGCCGGUCCAAUUCAACAUGUUUAGUCCGAUCGUGUUGAACUGGAUUACUCGCUAUCUUCACAGCCGCUUGAUUAUCACAAAAUAACUCCAUAGUACCCUUCACAUUUAUGCCCAGAUCCUUUAACACCCGUUUGACCCAAAGUAACUCGCAUACACCGUGAACCAUACCUCGAAACUCUGCCUCCGCACUCGAGCGCGACACAAACUUCUGUUUCUUACUACGCCACGUUACAAGAUUACCACUAACAAAUACAAAAUAACCUGACGUGGACUUACCGUCAGACUUGUCUCCUGCCCAAUCAGAAUCCGUAUACCCUUUAACUUCUACGCUUCCAUUUCUGCCAAAGAACAAACCCUUACCCGGCGACGACUUCAAAUAACGUAGAAUCCGGAAAACAGCCUUCAUGUGACUCUCACUAGGAGCAUGCAUAAAACGGCUUACAAUGCUAACCGCAUAUGCAAUAUCCGGUCGUGUAUGUGCAAGAUAGAUUAAUUUUCCGACCAAUUUUUGAUACCUCUCUCUAUUGGUUGGAACUUGACCUGUCGAUUCUGUAAGCUUAUGAUUCACUUCUAUAGGAGUAUCAAUCGGUUGACACUCCAACAUUCCCGUUUCUGCAAGAAGGUCUAAAACAUACUUUCGUUGACACAUUACUAUCCCAUGCUUAGAUCUAGCAACUUCAAUUCCCAAGAAAUACCGUAAGUCCCCGAGAUCCUUCAAUUCAAACUCGCGACUCAACAAACCUUGUAGUGUGUUAAUCUCGUCUGGAUCGUUGCCCGUAACAACCAUAUCAUCCACAUACACGAUUAGGGCUGUGACCUUAUCACCGUAACUCUUCACAAACAAAGUGUGAUCUGCGUCUGAUUGUUUAUACCCGAUCUUUCUCAUGAACUUUGAAAAUCUUCCGAACCACGCCCUAGGGGAUUGCUUCAGCCCAUAUAGUGCUUUGUUCAAUUUACACACCUUGCCGCCAUAAUUCAUUCCAGGAGGAGGAUCCAUAAACACUUCCUCUUCUAGAUAACCAUUGAGGAAAGCAUUUUUCACGUCGAACUGCUUAAGUGGCCAGUCUUGAUUUGCCGCAAUUGACACAAGGACUCUAAUAGUAUUAAUUUUAGCCACUGGUGCAAAGGUAUCUUCAUAAUCAAUACCGAACUUUUGCGUGUAACCCUUUGCAACUAACCUUGCUUUGUACCGAGCCACCUUUCCAUUUGAAUCGAGCUUCACAGUGAACACCCAUCUACACCCUACGGUUUUCUUUCCAGUUGGGAGUAACACCUCUUCCCACGUUUGAUUUCUUUUGAGAGCGUCAACCUCUUCAGACACCGCUUUUCUCCAUUCAGGGUGUUUCAUUGCGUCUUGUAUGUUUUUCGGAAUCACCACGGAUGAUAACUCUUCCACCAUGCAACGUUGAGUGUCGGCUAGCUUGGCCGUCGAGACAAAGUUAUUGAUCGGAUAUCGAGACUUCGAUGUUAGAUCCGGUUGAUAUUGUUUACGUGGUACCCCUCUAUUACGUCUAACUGGAUACCUAGACGCAGGUGUCUCAUGCUCCUGUUCACCCACAACUUCACCAUACACGUUAGAGUUCUCAUUAAAAAACAUACCUUGCGACGUGUUUGGAUCAGACUCGCUUGGAUGAGGCUCGUUAACAGGCUCGCUUGGAUCAGACUCGCUUGGUAUCGGGCUCGUUGUACUAUCUGUUGGUGUACUAUCUGUUUGGGCUUCACUACCGUUUUGCCCAUCUCCCCCUGAAUCGGAUCCGCCAUUACCUAUGUCGUUCGGCCCAUUCUCGCUUAGUCCAUCUUCAUAAAUCGCAUUUCCGGAUGGACCCAACUCAUUGGGCUGUAUAUUUCCCUCAUUAGAUUUCUCCCCCUGAGGGAAAUAUUCAGGUGUAAAAUAUGGAAUUUUUUCAUGGAAGCUAACAUCACGAGUAACAUAAACCUUCCCACUUUUCGGAUCAACACAUCUGUACCCCUUCUUGUAAUCAGCAUAUCCAAUGAACAUGCAUUUUUUGGCCCGUGGUUCCAAUUUUCCAUCAUUACUAUGCACAUAGGCCGAACACCCGAAUACUCUUGGUUCGAGAUUGGGUCCGAUGAUUAAUUCCAGUUUUUCGUGUACUACUUGUAAAGGUGUUUUGAAAUUGAGGACUCUGGAAGGAGUCCGAUUCAUUAGGUAUGCCGCACUCCGCACAGCUUCUCCCCAAUAUUGACGGGGUACCUUCAUGUCGAAAAGAGAUGCUCUUACAAUCUCGAGUAUUUGUUUAUUCCGUCUUUCCGCGAGCCCAUUUUGUUGAGGAGUAUUGGCGCAUGAUGUUUGAUGUCGAAUGGAGUUUGCCUUACAAAAUGCCUCCAUUUCCUGAUUAACAUACUCACCUCCAUUAUCGGAUUGGAGCACUUUGAUCUCACAUUUAAAUUGAGAUUUAAUUAUCUGAUAUAGUUCCUUGAACACAUGCGGUACUUCACUCUUGUUUUUCAAUAACGACACCCAAAUCAUACGUGAGAAUUCAUCGAUAAAAGUUACAAAAUAACGAUACCCACUUGGGGUUGCAAUUUUAGCCGGACCCCAAACAUCCGAGUGGAUCUUCAUGAAUGGAAUUGUUGUUUUGUUUUCACUGGGAAGAUAUGAGACUCUAUGAUGCUUAGCCAAUUCACAAAUAUCACAACUAGAAUCAAAUGUUUUAUUAUUCAAAAAUAAUUCAGGUUUUAAUCUUUUUAAAUACCCAAACGACAAAUGUCCUAAUCUACGGUGCCAUAACCACGCUAACUCGUUUCUUCCUUCUACGUUAUACGCCUCCGCUAAUCUUUCUUCUUCGAGAUAGUACAACCUGCCCCUCCUAGUACCAUAGCCAAGAAUCUGAUCUGUCGCGAUAUCCUGAAAGAAACAUUUAUUCGGCCAAAACGAGACAUAACAAUUGAGUUGGUCAAUAACUUGGCUAACAGAUAACAAACUUGAAGAUAAGGAUGGGACAACAAGGAUUGAUUCAAGAUUCAUUGAUUCCGAAAUUUUUGCUGAACCUUCGGAAAUUACGUCAGCCGAUCCUCCGUUUGCCGUUUUAAUUAAACUUUGUGUUGGUUGGGUUUUAAUUUCCAAUAUAGAAGGAUCGUUUGUCAUGUGAUCCGUAGCGCCGGAAUCAAUGACCCAUUCAUGACUAAAAAAUCGGGAUAUAGUAGGCUUACCGUGAUCACUAAAUGACUCGGUAUGUGCCGCAACCGGAGUCCCAUCAUCACCUUUUGUUGUAGCCAUGGAUGUCUGUCCCACCUUCCUUCGUGGCCUCUUUGAGAAGUCCCACCAUUCGGGGUACCCAACUAGUUCAUAGCACCUUUGUUUUGAGUGUCCCUCUUCACCACAGUGGGUACACACAAAAUUAUUCUUCUUAUUGUUGGAACUCUUCUCCUUUUCUUUCUCCUUCACGGUGCGACUCCGAGUAGCCAAGUUCACGACACUGUCGGUCUCGCGUUUCACGUCCUCCAUUGUAGAUCGUUGUUGCUGAUCUUUGCGAACGAAAGCAUAGCAAGCUUCUAGGUCCAUUGGAGGGUCCUUACGCAAGAUCUCUCCCCUCGCUUGAUUGAAUUCAGCGUCCAAUCCCGCGAGGAAGAUGUGCACUCGGAGUCGUCCCAAGAUUUUUUUCAAGGAUACGAUCUUAUCAACUUCAUCUUCAUGACCCAUUAGUCGGGUAUCAAUCUCCUGAAAAAUUCCAACCAAUUCGUUAUAGUAUGCUGCGAGUGGCCGUCCAUUUUGCUUCGUGCUGAACGAUCUCCGAUUUAACUCGAACAACUGCGUUUCAUCCGUUCCAUCGUAGAAGGUUUUCGCCACAGCGUCCCAGAUUUCUUUUGCAGUCUUCAACCGGAUAAACGUCGAGAUCAAGGUUGGACUCAUGGAAUCGAUGAGCCAACUCUUGACUCGAUUAUUAUCCAUUAGCCAGGUUUCGAUCUGUUUCGCGCCGGAUUCAGGUUUCUUGGAGGUUCCCGUCAAGAACCCAAGUUUGUUUCGAGCGCCAAUCCUCAUCUCCAUCAGUUGGGACCACAACUGAUAAUUGGUUUCGUCCAGAAUGAUCCCCGUCGGAAAAGGAGCAUCUUGGACGAUGAGACGAGGUUCUUGAGGAGCGGUGGUAUCCUUAUCAGUCAUUGCGAUUCGAGGUUAUUCGUGCUUCGAUUUGUUUUUGAUGUGGGUUUCAAACGGUAUGCUCUGAUACCAUAUAGACUCAGAAUACGUAUGAAGGGUUUUUCUUCUUAUUAUUCACAUAACCAACAAGUACAUAUAUAGGGUAUACAAUACAGGAUAAUUAUCUACCUUCAAAACUAACUAUCGGAUAUACACCAUACAAGAUAACCACAAAACUAAUUAUGAUCCAAAAAAACUCUUGACCACAUUUGAGUGUUCCAAAUAUCUAGCAACACAAUUCUUGCUUUUUGACUAGAUGGAGGUUUAUAUCCAUUAAGUGCCUCUUGAGGGUUCCCCAAGACAUUGAACGAUAUAUCAUUAGCAUACAAGUCUCUAAUGAUUUUCAUGUCCACCAUAUUAGGCUCCAUGACACCAUAAGCUUCUUCAAGUUGUUUUUUUUUAUGCUGGAUUUUUUUGAAAGUAUAGAAUUUUUUAAGGAUCUUGAAACACCUGUGAUCUCGACUUCGUUCACCUUGCUCCAAAGUCAUUGUAGUUUCUCCUUAUCCUUAAUCAAUGCUAGACAUCUUCGUAUUUCAGCAUUCUACCCAACUUGAGCCCCAAAGAAAUGUGUGGAUUCUAGUGUAUGAGCUUGUAUAUUGGACUUUGCAAUGUUUGCAAAGUCUUUGGCUUCCUGCUGUAGAAUUUGAUGGUUUUUCUUCAUCAUUCACCCCAAGUUCAACAAUGUUUUAUGGUUGUGCAGAACAGAGCACUAGAAAAAAAGAAAUGGAGUGGUGGUGAUGUGGGAUAAGUUGCAUGGUCUUAAUCUGCAUUUGACGUACAAUACCUGGAUACCAUCAUGAGUCGGCAUCUUUUUUCACGCAACCUAUUUCCCGCCAAAAUCUACAAUCGGCAACCCUAAUCUGCAAUUAGCGGUCCCAAUCGUGUUUCUAGAAAAUCAAAAUCGAUAAAAUCAUGUUUCCAUGGUCGUUCAGAAGAUUAGGUGGGGUUAGAAGGUAUACCUAAGUGCAUUUUGGAGGCGACUAGAUUGCAAACAUAUCGCGUUUGGGUAGUCAUGUUUGGAACAUGGAUAUAUGGAUUGAGAAAAUGUUUUAUACAUUGUCACAGGAGUCGCUCUGUAGGUCGCAUACCACGUUUUGAACGUUUCAUACCCAAACAAGAUAAAAAUUCGUACCCAACGCCGACCGAAACGCUUUCUAGUACGACAGCACGACGAUCAAAUCAAUCAACCGGUACGAUGGUGGGAACGCAUUUCUAUCAACUCGGAUCGCUCUGAUUUGUGUUUAUGGUACAACGAUCGAACGAUCUGUUUUGCGAUUGGGCAGCAAUUGCAUUGACGAUUCCAAAAAACAAUUAUUCACCAAAAAAACACUUCUUCAAGCAAGGUCAAAGAAGCCAGAGGUGUUCAAGAUCCUUAAAAAAUUCAACAUCAAAAAAAAGACUUGAGGUAGCUUUUGGUGUCAUUGAGCGUAAUAUGGUAGACAUGAAAAUCAUGAGAGGCUUUUGUGCUAGAAGUGUCUUGUUAAAUGUCUUGCAGAAUACUCAAUUCAUUGAAAUGAUACAAGCCAUCAAGAAGUGAAAAAGCAAGAAUUGUGUUGCUAGAUAAGUGAUCAAGACCUAAUCCAAGUGAAAGAUACUUUGUACACUUAAUGUAUUUCUAUUAUUCCGGAUGGGUGGUCUAAUAUCAAACAUAAGCCACUUCUCACUGUUGUUGCCUUCAAUGCUCGUGGUGUGGUGUUUCAUGUAUGCAGAAGAUUAUUCGAGAGUUGAGAAACAAUAGUGGCGAUUUCCAAGUUUCAGAAAAAAGCAAUUGAAGUUGUUGGUCCAAGUAAUGUCUGCAAGUGGUGACGGACAAUGCGCCUAAAUUCAAAAAGCCAUGGACACAGGAUCGAAAAGGUAUUCAAACAUAUCUUUUAGUCACCUUGUUUUUGUUCAUAGUUUAAACUUUAUGUUUAAAGAUGACACAAGAAUUAUAUUGGAUGAAUGAUACAUAUAGAAGGGAAAAAGCAAUUAUGAAGUACUUUAUUCCUUUAAAAAGAAAUAUGAAGUGCAGGGAGACUUUUGCCACAACUACACUCCUUAAUUCUUGGAGACAUAAGGUUAAAUUUGGGAUGAAAAUACACAAAUUAAUGGGGCAAAAGUGUGCAAUACAAUUAAAGAUGAUUCGUUUCUACUUAUAAAGUUUUGUGAUCGUGAAGGCCCUAAAAUAAGUGAGAUUUAUUAGAGAAUGGAUAAUAUGUUAGGGGAAAUCAAAGACAUAAUGCAAGAAAGUACUAAAUAAACCCAUGAUUUUAUGCAAAGUAAACCACCGGUGUCAUGGAAUCCUUUAAUAGAAUUUCUGAAAAUGAGGAGUGACCAUUGUUAAAAGAGCAAUUUGUAACAUUCCAAAUAAAGAAAGGUAUCUCCUCAAUGGCGAAAACACAACGGCUGCAUUGACAGUGGAUCAAAUAGAUUGGUGGUGAAACCCCAAAUUUGGCCGUUGUAGCAAAGAAGGUACAUUCAGAACCUAUUAGUAGCUCUUCCGCAAAAAAGAAUUGGAAUACAUAUUCAUAUAUUCAGAAUGUGAGAAGAAAUUGGUUAAAUUAAAUAGUUUGUAUUCAUACAUCCAACCCACACAAAAACUGGGACAUCAAUGUCGAAAUGGAACCGGUUUUGUGAUGUGCAUUGAGAAUAGCAAUGCACUUUUAGAUAUGGUUGUCAGCAACCCCAAAAAACAAUUUAAUAUCACUUUUACCAAAGUAAUUACCAUCUAAUUCUCCAUUGACAUCUUCCUUAUUGCCUUAUCGUUGUUUAAAGAGUUUAAAACUUUCUCAAAGCUACAUCAUCGUUAUUAUGGGAUUUUCUCUUUUUAACUAAAUUUUGGAUAUACAGCAAAGAUUCAACUAUCACCUUCGACAAGUUAGCACGAUAGUCGGUUAAAACUCUAAACUCUACGACUAAAAUUGAUAAAGUUUUGAAAAAAAAAAGUCAGUAUCUUCUUUGAUCAUUCGAGCAACUAUCGAGAACCUUCACAUGUUAAGUCUCCACCAACUGAGGAUAUCAAUUUUUUGUUGUACGUCAAUCACGGCUUCUUCAAACAUCAAAAUACGUGGGAAGCAUUUUGUAGGCUAGUGGAAAUGCUUUUAAACCGUUAUAAUCGUAGGAAACUUUUUAACCAUAAUUUUAAAUGUCUUGUGCUACUACUUCCCAAACAAAAAAUAAACAAAAAAAUCGGCUGCUCUUUAGAAAAAUAUGAUAGGCAUAUUUACUUCUCACUAAGGAAAAAAACGAUUGAUUGCUCAUCUGUCUUCGUUUCUACUGAGAACGGGAUCAACAACGAUGAAGCCAAGCUCAAGAUGAUUUGAUUGUAAAAGUUUUGAAAAAAUUUCAAGAGAUUGUACUUUUUAAAUAUGAUUUGAUUGUUAAUUUUUGAAAAUGUAGAGCAAUAUUAAAAGUACGCUUUUUUAUAGCUACUAACAAAACCGAAGCAAGUUUAGACUUUUAAAAUGCAAUCUCUCAAUAAAAAAAUAAAGUUGUCAAAAUACAAAUUUUAAAUGUAUGUUGGACCGAAUAGGUUAUCAAUAUUUCGUUGUCUUAUUAAGUGUUUUCUCAUUAAACAUUGCAUUUGGAAAAUCUAAAUUAUUAAAACAUUGUACUUUUAUUGAAGUUUCCAUUUAAAAUAUUGAUUUUAAAGAAAUCUAAAUUAUUAAGACAUUGUACUUUUAUUAAAGUUUUUUUUAUCACAAUGGCAUUGUCUUAAUAAGGAAAAAAUGGUAUAUCAUUUUAACUGGUUAGACAAUAGAUUUUAUUUAAAAACAAAAAGCUCAGAUUAUCAUGGUACAAUGUCUAGAUAGAUUAAAAAAUGUACAAUCUCUUGAAAAUUUUUGAAAGUAUAACGUUUAAAUUCAAAGUAUAGUUUUAAAAAAGGAAUGUUCAUCAUAGGUACAAAGUCUUCACUUGAUAGAUUUUCAAAAUGCAAUGUUUUAAUAAGAAUAAAAAUAUAGAUUUUAUUAAUAAGAAUAAUAGUAAAAGUGUGAUCUUAGGUUUUGAAAGUAUAAUUGAAAAUGCAAUGUCUUGUAUGAAAAAAAAAAACUAAUGCUAUAAUUGGUAGACUUUCAAAGUAGAUUUAAAAUGAAAAAAAUAAUGAAAAUACGACUAGUUAGACUUCUAAGUAUGGUGUUGUGAUAAUAAAAGAAAAUCAAGAAUGAUGUUAUAUUUGUUUUUCAAAGUGAAAAUUUUGAAUAAAAAAAAAAUAAAAAUGUUCUAAUGAAAAAAUAACAAAACUACAACUGCUUUAACAGGUUAUAUUUUGAAAGUAAAAUGUUGUAAAUGAAUUGUCAGUGCUAUAAUAUUAGGGUAAAGUAUCUUUAUAACAAAUUAAAAAUUACAAAGCCUUAGUAUGAAAAAAUAAGGGAAAGAAUUAUGCUAUAUUUGGUAAAAAAAUUCUAACUAGUUUAAAUUUACGAAGUACAGUCUCUUAUUAGUAAAAAUAAUAAAAGAACAUUAGUUUAAUAAAAUAAAAAAAUAAAAAAAAAUAAAAAUUAUAACUUAUAAGUUGUACCGAGCAUCAUGCAUGUUUAGGAUUUCAAAGUACACUCGCUUAAUAUAGAUAAUAAAAGUAUAAAAGCUUAAUAGAUAGAUUUUUAAAGUAUAAUGCUAUAAUUAUUUAGAUUUUUAAAAUGCAAAGCCUACAUACAAAUAUAAAUUAAAAGUAUAAUGCUUUACGCUAGAUUGUUAAAAUGAUAUGUCCUAAAAAUUAAAGAAAAAAAAUGAUAUGUAAUAUUACUAUAUUAAAAAUAUAAUGCUAUAGUAACCAAAAAAUAUUUAAUGUAAAAUGCUAUUAGUAACCAAAAUGAAAAAAAGUUUAAUUUCAAAAAUAUAAAUACUAAGUCUGAAUAGAUUUGAUUUUGAAACUUGAAAGUAUAAAUCUAUGAACGGUAGCAGUUUCAAAGUUCAAUAUCUUCAUAGAUAAAAAAUAAAAAAUGCAAUGUCUUGAUACAAUAUAAGACUUAAAAAAAGAGCUUUUAGAAAUCACAAUGACUAAAAAAAAAACAGUCAAUUAUAUUGAUAGAAAAAAAGUGCAAUGUUUUAACAGGAAAUAAAUUGAAGUAUAAUGUUAUAACAGGUAUCAAAAAUUAAACUUUAGAUAGAUUAUCAGGGUACAACAUCUUAUAAGUUGUAAAAGUACAAUGUCUUGAAAGAUUGAUUUUUGAAAGUAUAAUGUUAAAAUUGAAAGAAUAAUGCUACAUAUGGAUAGAUUUUCAAAGUAUAAUGUUUUACAAAGAAAUUUUAUCAAAAUUACAAUGUCUUAAUAUAUAUUAAAUUUUCAAUAUGCAAUGUUUUAAUAAGAAACCAGCUAAAAGUGGAUUAUCUUAAUAGGUUUGAUUUUAAUGAAAAGAAAAUUGUGAUGUAAUAGGAUAUAAAUUUUAGUAAAAUAUCUUUUAGAACAAAAAAGUACAUGUAUUGAAUAAUGUGAAAUAUAAAAGUGUAAUAAUGUUAAUAAAACAAUAAAAAGUACAUUAUCUUAAUUAAAAAAAAAAACUAAAAGUGUAAUGACAGAUAUUCAAAGUAUAAUGCCAUAAAUGAGAAUGCAAUGUCUUAAUAUGAAAAAUAAAAUGAAAGGUACGAUGUCUUAAUGGGGUAAAAAUGUAAAAUUGAAAGUAUAAUGUCGGCAUGUCAAAAAGCAAUAUGUUAAAAAUAAAGUUUUUUAAAAUUAAAUGCCUCAGCAGAAGAAAAAAAAAAUUAAGUACAAUAUCUUAAAAGGUUAGAACUGAAAGUAUAAAAACUCUAAUUUUAUCAGAAUAGACUUUGAAAGUUUAAUGUUGUAAUUGAAGGUAUAAAGCUCUAGAUUGUUUGAUUUUCAAACUACAAAGACUUUAUAAGAAUCUAAAAUUACAAAGUCUUGAGAGGAAAAAAUAUUGGAAAAUAAUAUGUUAUAAUCAGUAACCAAAAUCAAACAAAGUUUUAAUAGGUUAGGUAUUGAAAACAUAACACUAUAAUGAAAGAUUUAAUGUAUAAUGAUAAAUUAGUUAAAUUUUCAAAGUACAAUGUCUUAAUAAAAUAAUACUGAAAGUACAAUGUUAGAUAUUGAAAGUAUAAUGUUAUAACUGAAAAGGCAAUGUCUUAAUAGGAAAACAUUUGAAACUAAAUUGUUAUAAUUAGUAAACAAAAUUAAACAAGUAUUGAAUAUUAGAAGUACAAUGGCAUUAUAAGUUAGCGUUGGAAGUAUAUUGUUACAUAUAUGAGAAAAAAUUAAUGAUAUAAUUGGUUAGAUUUCAAUGUAGUUUUAAUAUUAAAAACAAAAGUACAAUUGGUUUGAUUUCUAGUAAUAGUUUCUUAAUAUAAAAAAAAAAAUCAAGUAUAAUGAUAUAAGUGAUAAAAAAAAUCAAACAAGUUUAGAAAUUAAAAAUACAAUGUCUUGAUAUAUAACAAUUUCAAAGGGAAAUAUAGAAGAAAAAAAAAAGAAGCAAAAGCACAGUGUCUUGAUGGGGUAGAUAUUGUAAUUAUAAUGCUAAAAUUGGUUAAACGUUUUGAAUGUAUAUCAAGUAAUCAACAUAAUAUAAUUUGGUAUUGUAUAUGAUCUGUUGGAAUUUUUACAUAUUGCUAGAAGCUGUAGAGUCUAGAUUGCUCCAUAAUCCUAUCAAAUAGCUACAAAUACAGGAAGUGUAAGAUGAUGAUGAAUGAUAUAGGUAAACAUAAAUUGAAAUUACUAUGGCAACUUGACAAUCUUUAGAAGUUUAUGUAAAUCCUGCCAAACUAGAUUCAAGAUUUUGACCAGAGUUAAUUUUUUAGUAAAGAGGAAAUCAAUGUCAGAAAUACAAGAAACAUGUAAAACAUUAAGCCAUGGAGUCUUCCAGCAUCACAUACCCACAAAUAAAAUGUUUGACUGAAACAUCGUGAUCGGAUAAAUUUGUUGACAGAUUCUAAAGAAAAAACAUUAUCAAAUGGUCAACAAACCCACAGAAACAUGUCCUGAAACACACCAACUAAAGAAGAGGAAGACCCCAGGGAAAUCAGAUUUUAAAGGAAAAAGAAAACGCGAAGAAGAAGACAGGGUACUACUAAAAACCCUAGAUAAUGAAAAUUUUAAAAAAGAUAAUAAUAAUUAACCUUCGAUUCCUAGAAGAUCACAUCUCAGUUUCAGAAAAACCCUUAAUUAAAGAAUAGAAAAAGAAACAGAAUGAAAACUUACAUCGAUGUUGAUUAGAGACAUGGCUGUGUCUGCGAAGAAUUGGGUGUUGGGGUCACAGACAUGGCUAUGGGUCUCCGGGAGGGUGUGGGUCUGUAUAGAAAAGAACGACUGAAGAAGAUGACCGAACCUUUUGGACUUCCAUCCGUAUAUGCGUCUGUCGAGGUGUCUGCGUGUGUUGAAAGCGGAAUGAAGAACGUCUGUAAAAUACGCGCUACGACCCAGCCCCUUUGAC
rnacentral:lncRNA from 1 species